rnacentral:rRNA from 1 species
GCAGCACGGGAGCAAUCCUGGUGGCGAGUGGCGAACGGGUGAGUAAUGUAUCGGAACGUACCUUUCAGUGGGGGAUAACGUAGCGAAAGUUACGCUAAUACCGCAUAUUCUGUGAGCAGGAAAGCAGGGGAUCUUAGGACCUUGCGCUGAUUGAGCGGCCGAUAUCAGAUUAGCUAGUUGGUGAGGUAAAGGCUCACCAAGGCGACGAUCUGUAGCGGGUCUGAGAGGAUGAUCCGCCACACUGGAACUGAGACACGGUCCAGACUCCUACGGGAGGCAGCAGUGGGGAAUUUUGGACAAUGGGGGCAACCCUGAUCCAGCCAUGCCGCGUGAGUGAAGAAGGCCUUCGGGUUGUAAAGCUCUUUCGGCCGGGAAGAAAUCGCAUGGGUUAAUACCCUGUGCGGAUGACGGUACCGGCAUAAGAAGCACCGGCUAACUACGUGCCAGCAGCCGCGG